rnacentral:rRNA from 1 species
AUUGAACGCUGGCGGCAGGCCUAACACAUGCAAGUCGAGCGAGCGGCGGACGGGUGAGUGAGGUAUGGGGAUCUGCCCGAUAGAGGGGGAUGAGUACUGUAAAAGUUGGCUAAUACCGCAUACUGUCCGAUGGACCCACAUGGGAUGAGCUAGUAGGGGGGGUAAAGGCGCACCAGGGCGACGAUCUCUAGCUGGUCGGAGAGGAUGAUCAGCCACACUGGGACUGAGACACGGCCCAGACUCCUACGGUAGGCAGCAGUGGGGAAUAUUGCACAAUGGGCGCAAGGCUGAUGCAGCCAGGCCGCGUGUAUGAAGAAGGUCUUAGGGUUGUAAAGUACUUUCGGAGGGGAGGCGGUACCCGCAGAGGAAGCACCGGCUAACUCCGUGACAGCAGCCGCGGUAAUAC